rnacentral:rRNA from 1 species
GACGAACGCUGGCGGCGUGCUUAACACAUGCAAGUCGUACGGUAAGGCCCUUUCGGGGGUACACGAGUGGCGAACGGGUGAGUAACACGUGAGUAACCUGCCCACAACUUUGGGAUAACGCUAGGAAACUGGUGCUAAUACUGGAUAUGUGCCCCUGCUGCAUGGUGGGGGUUGGAAAGCUCCGGCGGUUGUGGAUGGACUCGCGGCCUAUCAGCUUGUUGGUGGGGUAGUGGCCUACCAAGGCGGCGACGGGUAGCCGGCCUGAGAGGGUGACCGGCCACAUUGGGACUGAGAUACGGCCCAGACUCCUACGGGAGGCAGCAGUGGGGAAUAUUGCACAAUGGGCGCAAGCCUGAUGCAGCAACGCCGCGUGCAGGAUGACGGCCUUCGGGUUGUAAACCGCUUUCAGCAGGGACGAAGCUUUUUGUGACGGUACCUGCAGAAGAAGCACCGGCUAACUACGUG